AUGAGCAAAAAACUUACUGCGUUUCGAAUAAUUUUAUUUUUCAUUAAUCACAAUAUUCUAAGUUCUGGCUGUAUUCUGGAGCGUUUCCUCGUGGGCGUCGCAGUUCACACACGUCACGGAUUCCGCCGAAAGAGUCGAUAAUUAAAACUGAACUUUUGGAUCGAAGAUAUGCAUUUUCCUUGGCGGAGAUGCACAGCUGUGACACUAGACAAUAUUAUACACUCGAAGGGAACGCGUUUCGCCGGAAGAAUAAAUAAUUACAAAUGGUAUUCGUCAGUGAAAAUUUUCAAACUGGGAAUAAUAUUAUAUCAUAAGCAGAUUGAAAUGUGUGAACGUUUCAGUGCUUCGAAGACUAAGUUUCGUAGCAGAUUUUGAUUCCGUCACGGGAUUUUGGAGAUUUUAGUUUGAAGUUUGAAUGUGUAUUCCUACAAUAUAAUUUAUUUAAAUGCCGAUCUGUAGCGUCGUGAAGGUUACAAACCUAAUUACAUAUAAAUAUUGGAAAAAGAGACAUGCCUUAUUUUUGAAGUUCGCCCAAUGUAUUCUGAUGGACGAGGAGAGCUUUCCCGAGACACACAGUGCCUAUAAUGGCAGAAAAGUGUGACCAGGUGAAAGUGGCUGUGGACCCGUUUUGCGGCGCCGGCGGAAAUAUAAUCCAGCUUGCCCGACGUAUAUUGACGUAGACAAGAUAGUGAUGGCCAAGCAAAAUGCCGCGAUUUAUGGCGUACUUGAGAAGAUUGAGUUCGUUGUUGGAGACUUUUUCAAACUGGCAAAUCAGAUACAGGGUAACUUUAUAGUCACAUCGCCACCAUGGGGCGGUCCAGAAUACAACAAAAUGGAUGUUAUCGAAAAUGUGUUUAUUUAAAAACUGUUUAACUCGACGUUGCUGUAUGUCUGGUCCAAUAAUAACAAUGCCGUAUCAGACGUCGCUCCCAAACCGGUCGACAUCCAUCUGCAUAGCUCAUUCCGCAAGAAUUAGCGGUAUAGUUUGAAAACUUACCAAAGUUAUCUGGUGGAUGUCGAUACGUUGGUGAGCAGCCGUCACACAUCGGUCUGAUGUAGCUAUGGAAAGUUAUUAUUGGAUCGGUCAUAAUAUUACGUUGAGAAGUUAUCUGUUCAUGAACUCAUUUGCAGAUUUGUUGAGGUGUAACAGCAUUUUAGGGGCUAUUGUAAUUCCCACUUUAUCAUACAUAUAGCCCGAUGACCUACAUUUUUGUGUAUUCUGGUCUACCCUAUGAUGACCGCGAAGUAACGAUCACGUCACCGUUUAACAGAUUGCCCAGUUUAAAAGAGUAUCCAACAAUUUCAUCGGAUAGGUACGCCAUAAAUCAUGGCAUAGCGCUGGGCCAGCAUAAUUUUGUCCGGAUCAAUAUCUACAAAAAUGACAUCCCAAUUAUUAGAAGCUAAUAAUAUAGUGUCUUUGUCGAACAGUCAGCUGUACGAAAUUUCCGCUGCGCCACAAAACGGGUCGACGCCGGUCGCUGAACAUGGGAAGUCCUCAAGUCCACCCAGAAUCGUAUUGAUGAAUCAAC